rnacentral:rRNA from 1 species
GUUUGAUCCUGGCGGWGUUUACUGCUAUCGAGGUUCGACUAAGCCAUGCGAGUCGAAUGUAGCAAUACAUGGCGUACUGCUCAGUAACACGUGGACAACCUACCCUCAGCACGGGGAUAAACCCGGGAAACUGGGUAUAAUACCCGAUAGAACUGGGAUGCUGGAAUGCUUCCAGGUCGAAAGCUCCGGCGACUGAGGAUGGGUCUGCGGCCUAUCAGGUAGUAGUGGGUGUAACGUACCUACUAGCCUACGACGGGUACGGGUUGUGAGAGCAAGAGCCCGGAGAUGGAUUCUGAGACAUGAAUCCAGGCCCUACGGGGCGCAGCAGGCGCGAAAACUUUACAAUGCGGGAAACCGUGAUAAGGGGACACCGAGUGCCAGCAUCAUAUGCUGGCUGUCCAGGUGUGUAAAAUACACCUGUUAGCAAGGGCCGGGCAAGACCGGUGCCAGCCGCCGCGGUAACACCGGCGGCCCGAGUGGUGAUCGUGAUUAUUGGGUCUAAAGGGUCCGUAGCCGGUUUGUGUCAGUCCUCCGGGAAAUCUGAUAGCUCAACUAUUGGGCUUUCGGGGGAUACUGCCAGACUUGGAACCGGGAGAGGUAAGAGGUACUACAGGGGUAGGAGUGAAAUCUUGUAAUCCCUGUGGGACCACUGCGGCGAAGGCGUCUUACCAGAACGGGUUCGACGGUGAGGGACGAAAGCUGGGGGCACGAACCGGAUUAGAUACCCGGGUAGUCCCAGCCGUAAACGAUGCUCGCUAGGUGACAGGCAUGGCGCGACCGUGUCUGGUGCCGCAGGGAAGCCGUGAGGCGAGCCACCUGGGAAGUACGGCCGCAAGGCUGAAACUUAAAGGAAUUGGCGGGGGAGCACAACAGCGGGUGGAGCUGCGGUUUAAUUGGACUCAACGCCGGACAACUCACCGGGGACGACAGCAAAAUGUAGGCCAGGCUGAAGACCUUGCCUGAAUCGCUGAGAGGAGGUGCAUGGCCGUCGCCAGUUCGUACUGUGAAGCAUCCUGUUAAGUCAGGCAACGAGCGAGACCC